AUUCUCUCUUUCUCUCUCUCUCUCUCUCUCAUCCCGGCCCAGUUAUGUGGUCGGAGAGAAUGAUGAAGG
rnacentral:misc_RNA from 1 species